UAUUAUUCAUUUGACAUUUUAAUUAUUCUUACGGAUAACAAAAUUUGUAUCAGCAGAAGUCCAGAUUUCAUGUCUUAUAAUAGAUUUAGUCUCAUACCGACCCUACAGAAGGUCCACGGUCGUUUGAGACGAUGUGUACGACCUUAAGGAAAAAUCUUGAAUUUUGGGCCCACAUACGCCCGUGUAGUCCACACGGCCUAAAAUAGCCCAGACCGUGUGUUGCACAUAGCCUGGCACUCGGUCGUGUAGCGUCGACAGUGCCCAAUUUUGGCUUUCACCAUUCGUUGUUUUUCGGGUUUCUCGUUACAUACCUUGACUAGUUCUAAUGCGCGAACACCCAUAAGACUUUCCAAACCUAUAUGCAUCCAUUAGAAUCCAAAUUAACGACGUGCACGAGUGAAUAAUAAAUACACACCCUCAAUUACUUCUUAGAACAAAAUCAAACGAACCACUUAAAUAAAUUCAGAAACAUAAUAACUCCUUAUCGCAGAAUGAACAACAGCCACACACACAAAUUAAGUUGCUAGAGGAAAACCCAAUGAUUCUCAAUCUUCUCCUAAACAACACAUCCACAAAAAUCAAAUUCCCAAACCACAACACAACUUUGCCACUCCAAAAACCCCUAAACCAAACGAACUUACAAAAUCAAGAAAUUAAAGAAGAGCAAAGCCCUACUUACCAAGCCAAAUGAAGGAAUAAGGGAAAUCCAAAUCGCAACGAUUCAAAUGAACAAUUUGUGGACAAAAUCAAAAAAAGAAGCAAAAAGGGAGAGGAACCAGAAGGAAAACAUCAGAAUGGAAUUGUAGAGAAAAAGAAAAAUAACGUGGGAAAAAGAGGGGAUUUUUGGGAAAAUAAAAAAUUAAAACUAAAAUUUUAAAAAGAAUGAUCUAAACUCCCCACUAACAACCAAAUCUCACAAAAUCCAACACACUAAUCCUCAUCCCAACCACCACAAAAUUUCAAUUCCACCAAACUUCUACUACAUAACCGACACACACACAUAGAAACGAAAAUUGUUAUCAUUCGCUCACGCAGAGAUUCGAACACAAGACCUUAGGGUAAACUAACACCUUACCACAUGAACCAAUAGGCUCAUUCUAACAUGAGUUGACCGAAAAUAUAAUAUAAGCCAAACAGUUAAGGAUAAGGCUAGGAACGAAAAUAGAAAAAUUCCCAAAAGUGAGACUUAAACCCAAGACCUCAAACACACACACAAAUCAUUUAACCGUUGAAUUAGACACUUAUUAAUGACAUAAUAAAACAAAUCAAAAAUUCAUAUUUUUCGGCGUUACAUAUCCCGUAUAUAACAGGGGGUCAACACUAUUAGCAUUCAUAUACCGAGCAUUUAUGAGUGUGACCUACCAAAAAGCCAUUGGAUUAACAGUUGUUAAACCCUCCUACAAGUAGUGUAACACCCCCUAACCUGAAUCCGUCGUCGAAUUAGGGUUACGAAGCAUUAUCGAUCAAAACACGGAUCAGAACAGUCAAUUCAUUUUCAUUUCAUCCAUUUUUUUACCAAGUAGAAUCGUACCUAAAUAAUCGACUAAUCAUUCAUAAAACAUAUUCAUUCUUUGCCAUAAUUUAAUCAUCAAAAUGUCACAUAUCGAAAUAAGCGUGCUAAACACAAUUCCAUCAUAUAUGCCAUUUUCAAGCCAAAUCACAUGGCUAGAUUUACAUUUCAAAAAUAUACUAAUAGAUCACUAGCCUAUACAUGCCAUAUGUCAUAUAUACAAAGCUUCAAAAGUACCAACAAAAUGAUCGAUAGUGCGAUGACUUUUCCCGACGAUCCCUGAGUCUAAGCUAACUUCGAUAAUCUAUAAAACUGUGGAAGAAUGGACAAAGUAAGCUUUGGAAGCUUAGUAAGUCAUAAGCAAAUAAAUCAUUUCAAUGAAAAUUAUAAUUCAAUUCAACUAAGCUGAACUCAAACAUAUCACAAACACAUAUACAAUUAACUAUCUCAUAUGAACUCAUAUUAUUACAUUAAGGGUUAACUUACCUUUAUAUUUUAUAAACAUAUAAAUUCAUACAUACCUGAACUAUUCAGUUUAAAACCACAUUCAGAUUUGUUAAGAACACACAUAAAUCUUAUAAAACUCGUACAAUGCCAUACCCCGGAUAUGGUCUUACAUGUUAACGCAUAUCGAUGCCACUGUCCUAGACAGGAUCUUAUACGAAUCAUAGACGAUGCUAAUGUACCAGACAGGGUCUUACACGUUUUCUUACUUUGAUGCUAAUAUCCCAUACACGGUCUCACACAAAAAUCGUAUCUUGAAGUCCUAUUAUCAUGUCAUCAAUAUCAAAUACAUUUUCUAUGGUUCAUUCAGAGCUAUCGACUUCAUAAUUAAAUCAUUUCAUAUAUAUUCAAAUACGAAUCCAAUUCAGCAAUGAAUAUCGAUAUACCCAACAAUUCGACAACGUAUAACCAUUCACGAAUCAAGUUCGACAAUAUAUAAUCAUACACAAAUCAAAUUUGGCAUCCUAUAUUCAUAAACAAUUCAAUAUCGACAAUAUAUAACCAUGUACGAAUUAAUUUCAGUAAUGUACAACCUUGUACGAAUCAAUUCAACAAAUUAUAUCCAUAUACCAAACAAUUCGGCAAUGUAUAACCAUACACGAAUCAAGUUCGAUAAUGUAUAAUUAAAUACAAAUCCAAUUCGGCAUCCUAUAUACAUAAAAAAUUCAAAAUCGACAAUAUAAAACCAUGUACAAUUUAAUUUCAGCAAGGUAAAACCAUAUAUGAAUCAAUUCGGCAAAAUUUAUCCAUAUGCCAAAUAAUUCAGUAAUAUAUAACCAUACACGAAUCAAGUUCGAUAAUGUAUAAUCAAAUACAAAUCCAAUUCGGCAUCCUAUAUACAUAAACAAUUCAAUAUCGACAAUAUAUAACCAUGUACAAUUUAAUUUUAGCAAGGUAUAAAACAUUUAUAUUUAAUUUCAAAAACAUUUAUUUACUUACGAACUUACCUCGUAUUCGGAAUUGGCGAAUCGGAUCGAUUACACGAUAACUUUCGACUUUUCCCGAUCUAACUCCGAUUUCUUUCUUUCUUGAUCUAAAUCAAUUCAAAUUUAGCUCAUUUAAUCACCUAUUCAUUCAAUUUCAUUCAAAAAUACUUGUUUGGACAUUUUUUCACUUUAGCCCCUAAAGUUUCAUAUUUAUUCAAUUUAGUCUCUAUUUCACAAAAUCACAAAUUACACAAAAAUUCAAUAUACCCAUGCUUAGCCAAAUUUAUUAGAGGUCCCUAACAGCCCAAAAAUUGCAUUUAUUUCACAUUUCAACCCCCAAUUUACAAAUUUCACAAUUUAAUCCAUAAUAAGCAUUUUUAUCAAAAAUCACUUAAUAAAAUAUGAAAACCUAUCAACAAAUAUUUAUUUUUCAUCAUCAAACAACAAAAAGCUUGAAUAUUCAUCAAUGACAUUUCUCAAAAUCAUCAUCAAAUUCGAAAAUUAAAGCAUGGGCUAACUAGAAUACGAAGCAACAAUCUUAAAAACGUAAAAAUUAUCAAAACCCGAACAAAGAACAUACCCAAAUCAAGCUUCUAGAGUGUCGAACCCUAGCUUUAAAAAAAUGGAUUUUCUUUCUUUGAUAUUCGGUUGAAAAAAAGAAUGA
rnacentral:lncRNA from 1 species